CGCCACGAUUGUACGAUGGUGUUGAUCACUCCUUUAUGGCGAUCACGACCCUUGUUCCAUCGAUUGCUGGAGUUGGCAAUAGAUUACCCGCGGUUGAUUCUGAGUCUUCCGAAUCUCCUGGUGGAUCUGGAUGGCAACUCACACGAUUUAGUGGAUCACGGCCUUCUACAUCUAAUGGCAUGGCUCCUUUCAGGGGACCUUGGACUAUCUUGGGAGUUCCGCAGUCAACUCUCAACCUCCUCGACAAU